CAGCCGCCGCGGUAAUACGGAGGAUGCGAGCGUUAUCCGGAUUCACUGGGUUUAAAGGGUGCGCAGGCGGUUGUUUAAGUCAGGGGUGAAAGCCCUAUGCUCAACAUAGGGAUUGCCUUUGAUACUGAACGGCUAGAGUGAAGAUGGAGUGGGUGGAAUGUGUUGUGUAGCGGUGAAAUGCAUAGAUAUAACACAGAACACCGAUCGCGAAGGCAGCUCACUAAUUUUCAACUGACGCUCAUGCACGAAAGCGUGGGGAUCAAACAGGAUUAGAUACCCUGGUAGUCCACGCUGUAAACGAUGAUCACUAGCUGUUGGUACGCAGAAGUAUCAGUGGCUAAGCGAAAGUGAUAAGUGAUCCACCUGGGGAGUACGACCGCAAGGUUGAAACUUAAAGGAAUUGGCGGG
rnacentral:rRNA from 1 species